GUCCCCAGCUCCUGGGGAGUAUAUCAGAGCCCUUGCAGGGUUUAUAAAUUCUGCUUAUUUACUGGCAGGUUUCCAUCCUGGUCAUAAAAGCCAUAGGUCAAAAAGCUCUGUUAGAUGGGGAACACGAAACCCAGCUUUCAUUUAACUCCAGCUUCUUGCACAAGGCUGUGUAGCUCAUCAGUGCAACUGUGGUGUACAGCCCUAAAUGUCACUGGGAACCCAACUGAGGACAAGUGUCCAUAGCUCCUGGCUUUGUGUAGAGCAGAUCCCUGAAGAAGUGAGCUCCUGUUCAGGCUCUAUUUAUAUCAAUCUUUGCUCUUUACAAUAGGGGAAACCCUAAAGGUUUGCUCAGGUGGGGCUUUGUCCCAGUUCAUCUUAACCCACCUCCAGGGCUGCUCCGAGCCCCUGCGGUGUGAAUCGAUCUGCUGUUUCUUUUCUCCUUCAUGCACCCAUCUCCAUCUCAGAAAAUCUGGGCUCAUGAAUAGACCAAUUUGUCCACAGGAGCCCAAGCAGCUCCUCCCCUGCUCCACAUCCCUCAGCACUGCUAUGGGCAGGAAGAGGAGGAAUCACCAGAUCACAUCAGGUUCCUUCUAAGUAUCGCAGUCCUGGCUCAGCUCCACCCCAGCUGACAAGCUGCUUUAAUGGAUAGGCAGUGGCCUUCAGUGGAGGGGCUAAAUGUAAAACUUUCCUCUGCUUCUCUUGUCAAAGUUAAAAGCUUUUCAUGCCUGUGUUAAUGUUUCCUUUUUUUUUUUUUCCCUCCUGUCUGCUGGCACCAAUGACAAAUACUACAUCUUGCAUUGAGUAACAGUAUAUUGAAUGGCUGGCAGAGGCAGAAUACGGCACCUGUAAUUUAUCUCCGGGAGUUUGGGUUGGAUGACACUGCUGGGAACAGACCGGGGCUCUGAGCUGUCACCUGAUUACUAAUUCUAGGAUUUCUCCUCCGAGAGUGAGAAGGAGUGAGCUAGGAUGAAGGGUACAAAAAGCAAAUCAAUAAACAGGUUAGUUCAUCUUUGCAGAGGUUCCUUAGGAGAGCCCCUGGCAUUUCCCCUUCCCUGACAAUGGGUCAUACCUCUAUGGGUAAUGGACAGUGGGUCUUCAUGCUUUCCACAAGUGACAAACAACUGAGCAGCUCCAAGCACUACAAAUGAACAUGUGAUCAAGUGUUUCUGCUUAAAUUACCAAUAAAAUGCUAAAUCUGUGACAGAAUAAAUUGGCUGAAGAUGAAUCCCCCUGACUCCUGUCUGUGCUGCUGCUUUUUCAAAUGAAAACCCUCAUAAAGAAAUUAAGCUGGUUGAAAGGAAAAGCACCUAAAUUCGCAUAGCUUGCAUGGUGGAGGGUUUCCCAGAUUGCUCCAUCAUCUGGACCAGACCCUUCUUCAGGAAUACUCUGCUGCUUCUUUUUUGUUUGUUUGUUUUUAAAAGGUUCCCACAGGCACACUUCUGAUGGUGCUUCAAUCUCCCUAAUUGUUUCUGCCCAGUGCUGCUGCCAGGAGAAGGGACCCAGAGGCUGAGGGCAGCACACACAUGCUCAGACUUAAGGGCUGCUCGCUGCCCUGUAGGUGUGAGGCUGAUGGCAAUACGCUGCUCACUGCUUUCAUCUUUCCAAACUGCAUCUUCAUCACCUGUCCUCCAGGCAGACAUCUGAUAUAGGCUAAGUCUCCUGGCCCCCAGAAUGAAAGGGUCCAUGCUGGGAUCACCUAAAUCAAUUGGACUUUGCCACAAGAGAAUCACAGAAGCAUAGAAUCAUAAAGGUUGGAAAAGACUGCUGAGAUCAUCAAGCCCAACUGUCAACUCAUCACCACAAUGCCCACUAAACAGUAUCCCUAGAAUGGACUCAAACAAUGCCAGAUGCUUGGAAGUUCCUAGAUAUGUCCUAAAAAUAACCCAGCAAAGAUCUUUCAGAUGGUUCUUGGAGGAAACUUCCAUUCAGAGCAGCUAAAGAGAGAGCCAGCAUAAACUUGGGACAGCAUUUGAGGCUGUUUCUCAAGGAAGGGGUGAGGUUGGUCACCUAGGAGAUAUCUUUGGAGCAUGAGUAGUGCAGCUGCCUUUCUUUGGUCUGUCCCAGACUUACUU
ensembl:lncRNA